rnacentral:tRNA from 1 species
AAGGAAACUUGAUUUAAAGAAGCUGCUAACUAUCUUUUAUAAUGGUUAAAUUCCAUUUUUUCCUUG